AACGAACGUUAGCGGCGCGCCUAACACAUGCAAGUCGCACGAGAAAGGGCUUCGGCCCCGGUACAGUGGCGCACGGGUGAGUAACACGUAGAUCAUCUCCCCCCGAGUGGUGGAUAACUCUCCGAAAGGAGAGCUAAUACAGCAUGAGACCACGGCUUCGUUGAAGCUGCGGCCAAAGCAGGCCUCUACACGUAAGCUUGCGCUUGAGGAUUAGUCUGCGGCCCAUCAGCUAGUUGGUAGGGUAAUGGCCUACCAAGGCUAAGACGGGUAGCUGGUCUGAGAGGAUGAACAGCCACACUGGAACUGAGACACGGUCCAGACUCCUACGGGAGGCAGCAGUGGGGAAUCUUGCGCAAUGGGCGAAAGCCUGACGCAGCGACGCCGCGUGAGCGAUGAAGGCCUUCGGGUUGUAAAGCUCUGUGGGGAGGAAAGAAUAAGGGUUGGCUAAUAUCCAGCUCGAUGACGGUACCUCCUUAGCAAGCACCGGCUAACUCUGUGCCAGCCGCCGCGGUAA
rnacentral:rRNA from 1 species